ACAUACAACGACCGGCAUGGUAGCAAAGUGUCAAAGAUGGGAUGCACAGAGCCCACAUUAACACGGCUAUGAUGUUUGUAGCAUUGUACAAGAGACUACUGUAGAAAUUUCGACAGAGAAGAGCCAUGGUCUUUCACCAUUGACUCGGGUGUCUGCUGGGAACUCUGUGGGGUUGAUAUUUGUGCAAUGCCGUAUCUAAAUAUGUAUUUCAAUGCUUCGAUGAUAACUGGUCAGUGUGAAUAUGGUAUCCCCAGUGGUAGGGGAUUCUGUGGGUAUAUAUAUAACUUAGUAUCAUGUUUGAAGGAG